AUGCAGGAGAUAGUGUGUGAAUGUGCGGGGAAGGCAAUUGUUGAGAACACGCGGUCCUGUCGCUGUCAAUGCCCCACACUCGUAAGGUUGUUGCGUUCCAAGGACAAUGGUUGGUACAUAGCAGAGCAUCGGGAUGUGUACAACCAUGCGUUGACUCACACUUAUGGACAAACACUCCACUGGCCAUCGCACAAGCAUAUUGAUCAGUACAGCAGGGACCUUGUGAAGCAGCUAAGGCAAAAUAAUGUCAAUCUGGCAAAAGUGUACAACAUCCUCGGGAGCUUGUUUGGUAAGAUGGAGAAUGUACCAUUCACGAAGAGAGCUCUGCAGAAUCUGUGUCGAAAGAUAAGCCAUGAGCAGGCAGAGGACGAUGUUAGGAAAACAAUGGAGGUAUUCCAAGAACAUUGUUCAAAGGACCCCCAGUUCACUUAUCGGGUUCAAGCAGACAAUGAUGAAAGAAUCAGCACUUUGAUGUGGGCAACAGGCAACAGCAGGCUACAAUGCAGUUUCUUUGUUGAUGUUGUUACCUUCGAUACAACUUACCGGACAAACCUGUAUGACAUGCCGUUUGGUUUAUUUGUGGGGGUGAACAAUCAUUUCCAGAGCAUAAUUCUUGCUGGAGUAUUGGUGCGAAGUGAAACAGUUGAAACAUUUGAGUGGGUAUCCGCAGAAUUCAUUAGGAUAAUGGGUGGUAAGGCACCGCAAACGAUAUUGACAGAUCAGAACAGGGCUAUGGAGGUUGCCAUACAGAAUGUGAUGCCUGGCACAGCUCACCGAUGGUGCAAGUGGCAUGUGCUAAAGCAGAUAAGGCACAAGUGGGCGAAGCCAUACUUCAAAGGAGUGUUCUGUGCAAAGAUGACUAGCACUCAACGGAGUGAAAGUGCUAACCACAUGUUAAAGAACUAUGUGCCACCUGGUAGCCCAAUGCAUAUCUUUGUCAGGAAGUAUAUGAGCUUAAUAUUUGACCGGGAAGGAGAAGAAAAUUAUGAGGAGAAGCGGACAACAAUAGUAAGCAUGCUCUCUCCAUGU
rnacentral:rRNA from 1 species